CUUUUCCUGCAGGGAAGGCACAAGGACACACGAAGUGAAGCAGCAAGCCCAGCCCACAUCUGAGGGCACCAACCCCGGUGAGGGUCACAGCCAUCAAUUUACACCGUGUUCCUGGAACACGCCAGCUGCGUGUGGGCAAACGCCGCCAGGUGAGCCGUGCCAGAUAGCUAUAAAUUAACCCAGCAGCCAGUGCAGCAGGAAUGCCCGUUAAUCUCUGCUAACUCACCAGAAACGUGGAGUUCCCAGCAGGGAGGAAGCUACAUUUCUUCUUUAAGCCCUGUCAUCCGAAGACAUCUCCUCCAGCACCGUGGUAAUACAAGGCUCCCUGUGCUGCUGCUCUGGGUAUGCUACCAGCUGUGAUUCACUCUGCUCCUGAGUCAUGUGUGAAGGCCAGUUCAGCAGCUGAGGUACACUCCAGCCCCUGAAAAACACACCUCUUUAGUGGGACCAUUUACAGCACGAGGUGAAUGACCUUUUGCCAAAGCAUGAGCUGUAGCAACUUCCAGUUUGUUUGCUCAGGUUAUUGGCAUAAUCAGUAUUAGAAGAGCACGCUGAGUAGAAUGACACUCAGUAAUAAGUUACUCUUCAGUGAAAAUAAAUGAUAAUGUUCACUCUG